UCUUUUGCAAGAAAACAAGGAACAGACAAACAGCACCUGCAAGGCUGUCUUCUAUCUCUGAGGAUUGUGUUAAUUCCUCCUUAUGAAUUCCCAGGCCACUUUCCCAGGCUGAGAAAGCUGUGUGGCCUGCAAUUUCCACAGGCACCAUGCUCUCUGCUUCACAGUUAGCAUCCAUAAUUCCCCCUUUUUGUUUUAAAAUAAAAAAGGAGUGUUUGUAAUCUCCUGCUGGGCUCUUGCAAGAAAGAGAACAAACACAGCACAAGAGGUCUCCUUCAACAGAACUUUGAAUGGACACUGAUUUAGAAUGAUUUUCUCUAAGGAUUGUUUUCUUUGCAAGGACUUGAUGGUUGACUCUAAUAAACUAACACACACAGCACAUAAAACAUCAUUAGUCAGUUCAAAACUGACAGUCUAACUUGUCGACAGGGAAGUUUAAAAGAAUACCAAAGUGACAAAACUCAAGAACACCCAGAUCCAGACCCAGUGAAACUCUACUCAAUUCUACCAUGUAACAUCUAUGAACUUUUUACAGAUCAGUUAACAAAUGCAAUUCACAUUGCUUUGAUCCCCCUUUUUGUUGUUGUUGUUGUUGUUGUUUGACAUUGGUGCUGUUGUUGACCAUUGGAUUUUCCCCUCAAAUAUGAUUGAGGGACUUGUAGAGAUCACAUGGCUGUGGUCAAAAGUUUCCCGACUCUCUGCAAUCAGUGAAGUAACCAGGGAAGCUAUCUGCAGUGUAGAGAUGGUUGCUUCAUCAGGAUCAGGAUGCUGUUCUUGUUCAUCGGGUUCUGCAGCUGUGUUGCUGAGCGGUUUGAAGUCUGCAUGGUUUGAGUAAAGCUGACUCCAUUGUAAAAUUGUCGUUGCUGUUACUUGUUGAACCUCUUUCUCAGCUGCUGUUUCUGUUUCUAGCAGUGGUUGCCAUGGUAACAGCAUUGCAGUAGCUGGCGCGGGCAGCAGCUUCGCUUGCGGGCCUGUCUGCCCCCCUGCGCUGGGUUGGGCGCGAAGGGAAGGAACCACGCCUGGCUCCGCUGUGGUGAGCGGUGCCAUCAGGGGGCUGUGCAGCGGUGGUGCGGAGGCCGGAGGGAACACCCCUGAUGAGGGCUGCAGCGAUGGUUGCCCCUGCAACACUGGCACAUGCACGGAUCCCGCAGAUAGAUGUGGCGGGGCCAAAAG
rnacentral:lncRNA from 1 species